rnacentral:rRNA from 1 species
AACGAACGCUGGCGGCGUGUUUAAGACAUGCAAGUCGCACGGUGUCAUUUUGGUAGCAAUACUUGGAUGGCACAGUGGCGCACGGGUGAGUAACACGUGAAUGACAUGCCCUUCAGAGGGGGAUAGCCCAGGGAAACUUGGAUUAAUACCCCAUGGUCUCGCAAGAGUAAAGGUGGCCGCAGGGCUGUCGCGGGAGGAUUGGUUCGGGUUCUAUCAGCUUGUUGGCGGGGUAACGGACCACCAAGGCUACGACGGAUACCUGGUCUGAGAGGACGAUCAGGCACACUGGAACUGAGACACGGUCCAGACACCUACGGGUGGCAGCAGUCGAGAAUAAUUCACAAUGGGGGCAACCCUGAUGGUGCAACGCCGCGUGGAGGAUGAAGGUCUUCGGAUUGUAAACUCCUGUCAUCCGGGAGCAAGACCUGACGGUGAAUAGCCGGCAGGGUUGAUAGUACCGGAAGAGGAAGGGACGGCUAACUUCGUGCCAGCAGCCGCGGUAAUAC